GGCUUCGUUGCUCAGUUGGCUAGAGCGUUGGCUGUAAUUAUGCCUUCUCCUUGCUGGCGUGAGUUCGAAUCCCACCGAGGCCA
rnacentral:tRNA from 1 species